UCGAGGAUCUUUCGCAAUGGGCGCAAGCCUGACGAAGCGACGCUGCGUGAGUGAUGAAGGCCUUCGGGUCGUAAAACUCUUUCGCGCAAGAACAAGGAAGGUAUGUGAAUAACAUACUAACUUGAGGGUACUGCGUAAAGAAGCACCGGCUAACUCCGUGCCAGCAGCUGCGGUAAUACGGAGAGUGCAAGCAUUAAUCGGAAUUAUUGGGCGUAAAGGGCGCGUAGGCGGAAGGGUAAGUCAGAUGUGAAAUUCCGAAGCUCAACUUCGGAGCUGCAUUUGAAACUGCCCAUCUAGAGGGUUGACGGAGAAAACGGAAUUCCACGUGUAGCGGUGAAAUGCGUAGAUAUGUGGAAGAACACCGGUGGCGAAAGCGGUUUUCUAGUUAACACCUGACGCUGAGGCGCGAGAGCAAGGGGAGCAAACAGGAUUAGAUACCCCCGUAGUCC
rnacentral:rRNA from 1 species